AGAGUUGAACAAUGGAAACUAGAAAGACCAUGAAAAGGUGAACCAAUAAAAAGGAAAGCAAAAAUAUUUCCAAAUCUCCCCUUCAGUUAAUGCCAGCAACAAAUAGAACUCAUAUGUAAAAAUUAUGCAUGAGGGAUCAAGCAUAUCUCAUCAGAGUGCAAGGCCUAUUAAAAUGCAUUCAAUUUACAAAAUGGUGAAUCAAUAAACAGAUCAAUUUACACAUACACAUUAGAAAAUUAGAGAAAGAAAAAUAAGAAAAGAGAAAAUUAGAGAAGAAAAAUAAGAAAAGAUAAGGCUAGAUGAUGCUCCAUAAAUGCUCUAGGUGGACAUAAAAUAUGCAUCCAUAUGGCACACAAUCAAGUAAAA
rnacentral:misc_RNA from 1 species